UAGACAAACAGUAGAAUGGCCACUUUCAACAUCAUUUCCUCAAAUUUUUGCCCUGCUAGUGCUGCCCCAGUUAACUAAAAGUGCUGUUAUUAUGAAGUGGAAACGUCUAGGAGCAACAACAACGGCUCAGCCACAAAGUGUUAGGCUACACAAGCUCACAGAACGGGACCUGAGUGCUGAAGCGCCUAGAGUGUAAAAAUCGUCUGUCCUCGGUUGCAACACUCACUAUCGAGUUCCAAACUGCCUCUGGAAGCAAUGUCAGCACAAGAACAGUUCGUCAGGAGCUUCUUGAAAUUGGUUUCCAUGGCCGAGCAGCCACACACAAGUAUAAAGCUCACUGCCAUUGGACUGAAGCAGUGGAAAUCAGUUCUCUGAAGUGAUGAAUCACACUUCACCAUCUGGGUUUGGCGGAUGCCAGAUCGCUACCUGCCCCAAUGCAUAGUGCCAACUGUAAAGUUUGGUGGACGAGGAAUAAUUGUCAGGGGCUGUUUUUCAUGGUUCUAGUCCCCUUAAUUACGGUGAAGGGAAAUCUUUACACUACAGCAUACAAUGAUAUUCUAGAUCAUUCUGUGUUUCCAACUUUGUGGCAACAGUUUGGGGAAGGCCCUUACCUGUUUCAACAUGACAAUGCCCCUGUGCACCAAGCGAGGUCCAUACAGAAAUGGUUUGUCGACAUGGGUGUGGAAGAACUUGACUGGCCUACACAGCCCUGACCAACCACAUCGAACACCUUUGGGAUGACGCCGACUGCGAGCAAGGCCUAAUCGCCCAACCUCACUAAUCCUUGUGGUUGAAUGGAAGCAAGUCCCUGCAGAAAUGUUCCAACAUCUUGUGGAAAGCCUUCCCAGAAGAGUGGAGGCUGUUAUAGCAGCAAAGGGAGGACCAACUCCAUAUUAAUAUCCGUGAUAUUGGAAAGAGAUAUUCGACAAACAGGUGUCCACAUACUUUUGGUCAUGUAGUGUAUUAUGAUUUGGUAAUGGCUAUUUGUGUAAAUGUCCUGACGCAAUGUGCUAUCUAGUUGUAUAGUCUGGCUUAGUCAGCCAUACGCAGUAUCCUCGUAUUCUCUCUGCAUCCUGGCAGGGGGGGGUAUACUACACAUCAGCAACAAGGACUCUUGCCUAACUAUUGUGAAAAACUAUUUAUUUGGAAGAUAAGCUUGAAAUGGGCAUGGUCUAAUUGAAUCAAAAACACAAGUUAAGCUUUCUUCUUGAACAUGAAAAUCAAUUGUUAUUUUUGGUUGUUUUAAAUGACAUUAAAGUUCUAAAUUCCAAGGUUCUAAAUGGCAUUAAAGUUGAAAAUGAAGUGCCUUAGCAUUUUGACCUGUUAAUGCUUCCAUUCGCACUAUUAUACAAAUGCAAUUGCUGUGACACGUGUAUUGUCAUUCAAAUGUUCAGUGUGGGAGGUGGUUCUGUUAAUUGUCUUAUGGUGACGUCACGAGUACAUGUUUCUACACUUGCAGUAUCAUUUGUAAUACUCACUUUGACGUUACCAUACACUUGUCUGUUUUUUUAUCAGAGAUCACUUUGGUCACACAAGAAUGUUUAUUGAGCACAUGCCGCGUCCCAUAUGGCACCCUAUUCCCUAUAUAGUGCACUACUUUUGUAGUGGGAAUAAAUAGGAUGCAGUCUACAAGUAAAUACUUUUCAGCGAGACAGUAACUCUUCACAUAUUUUCUAUCCAGCCAUUUUGAGUCAUUCCUAUGAAUCUCCCAACUUUAAAAUAAAUGUUUCUGUAUCAAACAGAAUUUCUGUCAUUUCUUUCUUUAAAAUGAUUGAAUACAGGUUAGUAGAG
ensembl:lncRNA